CGGGAUGUAGCGAAGGGGUAUCGCGCUUGCUUUGGGAGCAAGAGAUCGUAGGUUCGAGUCCUAUCAUCCCGA
rnacentral:tRNA from 1 species